rnacentral:rRNA from 1 species
UCGAGAAUUUUUCACAAUGGGGGAAACCCUGAUGGAGCGACGCCGCGUGGAGGACGAAGGCCUUCGGGUCGUAAACUCCUGUCAUGCGGGAACAAGAAAGUGAUAGUACCGCAAGAGGAAGAGACGGCUAACUCUGUGCCAGCAGCCGCGGUAAUACAGAGGUCUCAAGCGUUGUUCGGAUUCAUUGGGCGUAAAGGGUGCGCAGGCGGCGUGGAAAGUUGAGUGUGAAAUCCUGGGGCUUAACCUCAGAACUGCACUCAAUACUCCCAUGCUAGAGGAAUGUAGAGGAGAGUGGAAUUCACGGUGUAGCAGUGAAAUGCGUAGAUAUCGUGAGGAAGACCAGUUGCGAAGGCGACUCUCUGGGCAUUUCCUGACGCUCAUGCACGAAGGCCAGGGGAGCAAACG